AAAUUGAAGAGUUUGAUCAUGGCUCAGAUUGAACGCUGGCGGCAGGCCUAACACAUGCAAGUCGAACGGUAACAGGAAACAGCUUGCUGUUUCGCUGACGAGUGGCGGACGGGUGAGUAAUGUCUGGGAAACUGCCUGAUGGAGGGGGAUAACUACUGGAAACGGUAGCUAAUACCGCAUAAUGUCGCAAGACUAAAGAGGGGGACCUUCGGGCCUCUUGCCAUCGGAUGUGCCCAGAUGGGAUUAGCUAGUAGGUGG
rnacentral:rRNA from 2 species